AGGAGCCGUAUGAUGGGAAACUAUCACGUACGGUUCUGUUGGCGUAGCCUUCCCGAAGGGUAGACGAGUCGGUGAGGCGACUCACCGGCUUAGUUUAAUGAAGUAAGCCACUAAAAC
rnacentral:ncRNA from 2 species